UAUGUCAUAAACCCCUAAAGUUCCAGAAUGUAAUGGAUUACAAUGGCAGCCAUUAUGGCCAGGGAGAAAUCCAAACAAGUCUAAUUGGAAGGAAUGAUUAGCAGUGGAGGUGAGGCUUUUCCUGUUUUUACUUUUGCAGGAAAAUAAAAGUCAGGUGAAGGAGCAGGAGCACUGUGGUGGACAGAAACAUUGCUCUGAUCUUGUCCCCUGGACCUUGGAGGACUUUUUGUGUGGAUGAUGUUCAGGGCCUACCAAAGCAAGGUUUCUCAAACAACUGUGGGGUGUUUGUUUUGAUGGAAAACAUGCAGCAAAUUAGGCGAUGAUGGUGCCUAGUUCUCCUGCAGAACUUUCCCAUGCCGUCUGAAGAAGAGAGGUUGAAAGAUCGAAAAAGGCAGCGAAAACAAAACACACUACAGGAUGAUGUAGAAGACUUCCCCCCCCAAGAAGUCACAGCAUGUCACAUCAGCAUCCAGCUCUGCAGGAUCAGGUACUGUAUAGGCUGUUAGCUAAAGUAAGGUGCAUUCAGGUACACACAUCCCAAGAGGUUCCCUUACAUUACUUAAUGACCACAAUCUGUUUUCUUUCUAGASGAUACUGGGAACAAAAUGCACGGCGAACUGGGAGCUGUGAACUGGGAAGCAGAUGUUCUUCAAAGGGACACCCUAGAGGCAGCAAGGAGGUGCAAACGACAAAACAUUUAAAGGCACUGUUUCCCUCCCUAGUGUAAUUGGGAUGGGCGGGGAAGACCGCAUUACAACCCUUAAAGAACUACYGUUGUAUGAUGGCCUGGAUGAAGAGGAAAAUAUUCUCCUCUAGGAAACGUUCAUGUUCCAGUUAGAGAGAUUAUGAGAUGUUCUAUGUGGAGGCAGUUGAUAACAAGAACAUUACUGUCUGCCUCUUUUGAGGAGCAGGAGUGAAGCCAUUUUGAGGAGUGGUCAAACCUUGUUUUUGUCUGCUGUGUUAAUUGUUAAUUGUGUUUAGUAAAGAAGAUGUAGAAGUCACCCGAGUCUCUGAUCUCUUUACUGGAGCUGGUAUAACUUGAUGUACAAAGCACAUUCAGCUUGUCAGUAUGUCUAUAUGGUGUAGUCUGUCUCCAUUCUCAUGAGGAAAGUAAAUAGCAGUAUAAAUCAGGAUAGGUAGUAACUGUGUAUAUAUAUGCUCAAUUAAAUAAUAUAAUUACAAAGUUAUAACAUUUAUCAACACAAUUUUAACAGUACAUGACAAGUCUGUUGUUCCCUGCAACAAUAUCAGUAGCUGGCUUCAAAUAUAGGAUGAAGCAAAAAGUGUUACAACACAUGUGUUGGUACCACUUUAAAUAAUAUUUCUUAUGAUCUUCAAAAAUGAAAUACGUUUGUAUUAAACGU